rnacentral:rRNA from 1 species
AUUGAACGCUGGCGGCAGGCCUCACACAUUCAAGUCGAGCGACCGGCGGACGGGUGAGUAAUUUAUGUGGUCUGCUCGAUAGAGGGGGGUCACUACUGGAUCCGGUAGCUAAUACCGCAUACCAGCGGAUAACCCUUAUGGGAUUAGCUAGGAGGGGAGGUAAUGGCUCACCUAGGCGACGUACCCUAGCUGGUCUGAGAGGAUGAUCAACCACACUGGGACUGAGACACGGCCCAGUGUCCUACGGAGGCAGCAGUGGGGAAUCUUGCACAAUGGUCGCAAGCCGGAUGCAGCCAUGCCGCGUGUAUGAAGAGGGCCCUAGGGUUGUAAAGUACUUUCAGUCGAGAGGCGUUGCCGACAGAAGAAGCACCGGCUAAAUCCGCGCCAGCAGCCGCGGUAAUAC